AGGAUACUAGCGCCUCUCUUUGUUUAAAUAUUUUCUAUUUAUUCCAACUUAAAAAUAAACCAGGAAUGAAAGUCCAGGUAGGACUAUGGUUCCUAGGCUAUGGAGGUCCGAUAGGACUACAGUUCCUACGAACCUCGGUUCCUACGGAACUGCGUUCCUUUUACACUGGUCCUCUAUGUAAACCGGACUAUUUCGAUGGUACGAAGCGAGUUUGGUUUAGAUAGAGUAUACUAAACGACCAUGCCUGUCAUACCAUUUUUAUGAAAUAAGAGUGAACGGUUUUGGUAUCUGACGAGCGAAAGCGAGUUAGAUGCCAACACUGUUCACGAGUUUCAUAAAAAUGGUAUAACAGGCAAGCUAGUUUAGUAUUUUAUUUAUUACAAACCAACUGCAAACAAGCCGCAACGCGGAAGUAAGCAGAUGUCGGGACCUACUACACGUAUUUUUUCUGCGAAUUGGGUCAGCAAGUGAUCUACGUCACCUCACGUCACGCCUAUAUUACACUAAUUAGAUACUGAGUGAUUGUUAUGACAUGAGCAAUAUCUUACACUGGAAACUCAACAGUGUCCAUUAGAUACGCCAUGUGUCAUACUGGUUGGAAACAAUAUUCGAAAUGGCAACAUCCAACAAAGAUACUGGUCGCACGCGUGUACUUGUGGUGAUGGUGUGAGGUGCCCGGUGGAGUGGGGUGAGGACCCCGAGAAAACCGUCAGACUGUACCUGCAUACUAAUAAUGCAGUUCGAGCAAUAGUAAUAGAAAUGAAGUUCUGCUACCAAGUGCAGUCCCGGGCGAUGUGCAGUCCCAACCAGGUGGCGGUUAGUCUGAAGGGAUACUCCGUUCUCCCACACCAGCUCAAAAACAUCAACUGCCGCUGUCCGGGAAACGCCCCGCUACACGUCCAGAAAGUCUGGUUCGAGAGAUUCAUGGAACGACACCAGAACUUUGUCUGCAGCAUACCAACUUGUGAAGUUAACCAGCGGGUGUCGUGCUCGCAUUUGGGACAAUACGAGACAACCUACAUCUGCGAGUGUCCGGAAUCAUUCAGAUGUGUUAUUUCGCCAAGUUCGACGCAAGGUUUCUGUGAACCGAUUUCGUCUUGAUUCUGCACGUGCACAUAGUGCACGGUCUUAAUCAAUCAGGCAUAAAAAGGGACAAAAUAAAUCUCGAAUCGAUGUGCUACCUAUCAAUGUGGAUAUGAUUAAGAAUGUUUGUUUUUUGGGGGGUUUUUUA